rnacentral:lncRNA from 1 species
AGAUGAGGCAUAUCUGAGGCACAGAGAGGUUAAGUUGGGGACUGAAGUGUGGCUCCAGAAUCUAAGUUUCUAACUGCCAUGCUAUGACUGACCCCACUGGACUCAUGACUCAUGGACUCAGCUGGUCCUGUGGCCCUACCCAGAAGUGGACUCAGCACACGAGGACCAUUUCCCACACUCCUGUGAUUUCAUCCCCAAUUAUUCAGCAGUACCCUUUCCAUAGCCCCUUGCCCACCAAGUUGUCCAUAAAAACCCUAGCCUCUGAGCUUUUGGGGAGAUGGAGUUGAGUAAUAACUCCAUCUACUGCAUGGCUGGCCUUGUGUCAAUUAAACUUUUUUCUUUACUGCAAUAACAUGGUCUCAGUGAACUGAUUUUGUUCAUGCAGGAGGCAGGAAAAGCCCCUUGGGUGAUUACACAGUGGUUCUCAAAGUAUGGACCUCCAACCAGCAGCAUCAGCAGCAUCUGGAUACUUGCUAGAAAUGGAAAUUCUCUGGCCCUAUUCCAGGCCUUCCAAGUUGGAAACUUUGUGAUGGGGCCCAGCACUCUGUGUUUU